UACGAAGGUCCCAAGCGUUAUCCGGAUUUAUUGGGUUUAAAGGGUGCGUAGGCGGUCUAUUAAGUCAGUGGUGAAAGCCCCAAGCUCAACUUGGGAACUGCCAUUGAUACUGAUGGACUUGAGUACAUUUGAGGUGGGCGGAAUGUGUCAUGUAGCGGUGAAAUGCGUUGAUAUCAUUAGGAACACCGGUGGCGAAAGCGGCUCACUGGGACUCUUCUGACGCUGAUGUACGAAAGCUAGGGUAGCGGAACGGG
rnacentral:rRNA from 1 species